rnacentral:rRNA from 1 species
AUUAACGCUAGCGGCAGGCAUAAUACAUGCAAGUUGAACGGCAGCACAGGUAGCAAUACUGGGUGGCGAGUGGCGCACGGGUGCGUAACACGUAUGCAACCUACCCUAUACAGGCGAAUAACCUUUAGAAAUGAGGGCUAAUACGCCGUAGUAUUACAGAUGGGCAUCUAUUUGUAAUUAAAGAUUUAUCGGUAUAGGAUGGGCAUGCGUCCCAUUAGUUAGUUGGUAGGGUAACGGCCUACCAAGGCUAUGAUGGGUAGGGG